CGAGCUGAUCCCUUCGGGGUGACGCUCGUGGAACGAGCGGCGGACGGGUGAGUAACACGUGGGCAACCUGCCUGUAAGACCGGAAUAACCCCGGGAAACCGGGGCUAAUGCCGGGUAAUACUUUCUUUCGCAUGAAGGAAAGUUGAAAGAUGGCUUCUUGCUAUCACUUACAGAUGGGCCCGCGGCGCAUUAGCUAGUUGGUGAGGUAACGGCUCACCAAGGCGACGAUGCGUAGCCGACCUGAGAGGGUGAUCGGCCACACUGGGACUGAGACACGGCCCAGACUCCUACGGGAGGCAGCAGUAGGGAAUCUUCCGCAAUGGACGAAAGUCUGACGGAGCAACGCCGCGUGAACGAUGAAGGUCUUCGGAUCGUAAAGUUCUGUUGUUAGGGAAGAACAAGUACCGUGCGAACAGAGCGGUACCUUGACGGUACCUAACGAGGAAGCCCCGGCUAACUACGUGCCAGCAGCCGCGGUAAUACGUAGGGGGCAAGCGUUGUCCGGAAUUAUUGGGCGUAAAGCGCGCGCAGGCGGUUCCUUAAGUCUGAUGUG
rnacentral:rRNA from 1 species